CCAAGGAGUCUAGCGUGUGCGCGAGUCAUUGGGUGUAAAACCUAAAGGCGCAAUGAAAGUGUCAGGGGUGCCUCCUUUAGGAGCGCAUCCCGUUGGGAGGAUGGGCCGCCGUACGAUCACUCGUCGGAGCCCCGCACUCCCGGGGCGUCUCGUUCUCAUCACGAGUGGAGACUGCACCAGGAGCGCACACGCUGGUACCCUGAAAGAUGGUGAACUAUGCCUGGCCAGGACGAAGCCAGGGGAAACCCUGGUGGAGGUCCGAAGCGAUUCUGACGUGCAAAUCGAUCGUCUGAGCUGGGUAUAGGGGCGAAAGACCAAUCGAACCAUCUAGUAGCUGGUUCCCUCUGAAGUUUCCCUCAGGAUAGCUGGCUCUCGGGAAGAGACGAGUCUCAUCCGGUAGAGCGAAUGAUUAGAGGUGAUGGGGUCGAAACGACUUCAACCUAUUCUCAAACUCCCAAUAGAUGAGAGCCCCGGCUUGCUUAAAAGUGAAGCCGCGGGACUCGGAUCAGAGAUGCCAAGUGGGCCAAUUUU
rnacentral:rRNA from 1 species